rnacentral:rRNA from 1 species
AGCAGUCGCCGCGGUAAUACGAAGGGCGCAAGCGUUAUCCGGAAUUAUUGGGCGUAAAGAGCUCGUAGGCGGUUUGUCGCGUCUGCCGUGAAAGUCCGGGGCUCAACCCCGGAUCUGCGGUGGGUACGGGCAGACUAGAGUGAUGUAGGGGAGACUGGAAUUCCUGGUGUAGCGGUGAAAUGCGCAGAUAUCAGGAGGAACACCGAUGGCGAAGGCAGGUCUCUGGGCAUUAACUGACGCUGAGGAGCGAAAGCAUGGGGAGCGAACAGGAUUAGAUACCCCCGUAGUCCCUGUCUCUUAUAC